rnacentral:rRNA from 1 species
GCCAGACUCCUACGGGAGGCAGCAGUGGGGAAUAUUGGGCAAUGGGGGAAACUCUUACCCAGCAAUGCCGCGUGAAUGAAGAAGGUCUUCGGAUUGUAAAGUUCUUUAAUUGGGGACGAAAAAAAUGACGGUACCCAAGGAAUAAGCCCCGGCUAACUACGUGCCAGCAGCCGCGGUAAUACGUAGGGAGCAAGCGUUGUCCGGAAUUACUGGGUGUAAAGGGAGCGUAGGCGGGAUGGCAAGUUGGGUGUUAAAUCUACCGGCUCAACUGGUAGUCGCACUCAAAACUGCUAUUCUUGAGUGAAGUAGAGGCAGGCGGAAUUCCUAGUGUAGCGGUGAAAUGCGUAGAUAUUAGGAGGAACACCAGUGGCGAAGGCGGCCUGCUGGGCUUUUACUGACGCUGAGGCUCGAAAGUGUGGGGAGCAAACAGGAUUAGAUACCCUGGUAG